rnacentral:rRNA from 1 species
AAGGAGCCUGAGAAACGGCUACUACAUCCAAGGAAGGCAGCAGGCGCGCAAAUUACCCAAUCCCGAUUCGGGGAGGUAGUGACAAUAAAUACUGAUACAGGGCUCUUUUGGGUCUUGUAAUUGGAAUGAGUACAAUUUAAAUCCCUUAACGAGGAACAAUUGGAGGGCAAGUCUGGUGCCAGCAGCCGCGGUAAUUCCAGCUCCAAUAGCGUAUAUUAAAGUUGUUGUGGUUAAAAAGCUCGUAGUUGAACCUUGGGCCUGGCUGGCCGGUCCGCCUCACCGCGUGUACUGGUCCGGCCGGGCCUUUCCCUCUGUGGAACCCCAUGCCCUUCACUGGGUGUGGCGGGGAAACAGGACUUUUACUUUGAAAAAAUUAGAGUGCUCCAGGCAGGCCUAUGCUCGAAUACA